GAGUAGAAAACCUAGUGGGUUAGGGUUCUUGUAUUUGUUCAUAAACGCAAAGCGAUAGAUCUGAUUUCGAUGGGGGAUGAUAGCGAUAGAUCUGAUUCGAUGGGGGAUGAUAGCGAUAGAUCUGAUUCGAUGGGGGAUGAUAGCGAUAGAUCUGACUCGAUGGGGGAUGAUGUUGUGUAUGAUUCAGAAGGUACGAAGCCAACUCUGUAAAUUUAUUUAAGGAUCUAUAGAGAUAUAUAUAUAAAUCCCUAAGUUUGGAGAAUUUGCGGUCUCAGAUUGGAGAACUACGCUAGAACCUGUGGAUCUGGAAUACACGGAGGAGGAUGAUGUUGAUGGGACAAGGUAUUAUCCUAGUAUAAGACGCCGUGAAGAUGAAGAGAAGAUCUCGCCGGAGGAUGAGUAUCUCCUCAUGGAGAAGCAAGU
rnacentral:lncRNA from 1 species